rnacentral:rRNA from 1 species
AUUGAACGCUGGCGGCAGGCCUAACACAUGCAAGUCGAACGAGUUGCGGACGGGUGAGUACUGUCUGGGAAACUGCCUGAUGGAGGGGGAUAACUACUGGAAACGGUAGCUAAUACCGCAUACCAUCGGAUGUGCCCAGAUGGAAUUAGCUAGUAGGUGGGGUAACGGCCCACCUCGGCGACGAUCCCUAGCUGGUCUGAGAGGAUGACCAGCCAAACUGGAACUGAGACACGGUCCAGACUCCGACGAGAGGCAGCAGGGGAGAAUAUUGCACAAUGGGCGCAAGCCUGAUGCAGACAUGCCGCGUGGAUGAAGAAGGCCUUCGGGUUGUAAAGUACUUUCAGCGGGGAAGCGUUACCCGCAGAAGAAGCACCGGCUAACUCCGUGCCAGCAGCCGCGGUAAUUC